GUUGAUUUGGGUCCUUUCCGGUUUAUCUUCUGUAUGAUUCCUGUAUUCAUUUGCACUAUUUAUGUAUCUAAUCUUAUAUUUGACCCUUAAGAAUCAGAGCCACAUCUAUUCUGUUUCUCAUUGAUAAUUAGUGAUUUCUUGUAAAUCUAUAAUAUUUCAUCCAUACAAAUGGCUUACAUCCGUUCCUGUAAAGAUUUGGGUGCUGUCAA
rnacentral:misc_RNA from 1 species